UGUGGGAGCAGCUCCUGGCAGUUUGCCUGAUAAUGUAGGUGGCGGUGUCGGAGCAAAAGUUGGAGGCUGCGUGCCAAGUGGUGUCAUCUCAUCCAGGAGCUGUGUCCUCUGAAUCCACAAGGUGACCAGGGAUCCUGACUGCGGGGACAGCGUGCUUGGGUUUAUGGCUGCCCUGUGGGCCGUGUGAAGGAUUAGGCUCCAAGCCGCCAGUGCGCCUUCAGCUGCAAGAGCCUUGCGUCUCUCAGGAAGCUAAAGGCCUGGGCCCAUGCCCCAACCUGCAGCCGGCAGCGUCCACCCCCACGUGAUGCUCUGCUAGUACAUUUCUCCAUUCAGCUGAUGGUGAGUGCUGUACUAUUUUAAGCCCACAUGGAAGUAUUUUUUUUUUUUUUUUUUUUUUAAUAAGGACCAUCUG